GGGAGCAAAGCAGUGGCCAUGUCCCACAAUGGGCAGAAAUAGAGGAUGGUCAGGAGGCAGCAGGGGGUCUUGAGCUGAGUCUGUGCAAAAAGAAUGACAAGAACAGAAUGAAAAAAUAGAGCAAGAAUGAGAGUAUUGAAAUAUGGGCUUGUCUCCAUUUAUUUUUGCCGUUGCUGCCCAGUACAGUGGACUAGGACACCUGACUUACUAAUCUUCUCUGACUUUAGGGAAGAAAAAUUACAUCAACCUAAACAGACUGUUAAAACAUGGAAAUCCUUGUCAGACUGAAGUUAUCUAUAUUGGAGAAUUAAGUACUAUAAAAGUAAUGGAAUACAGGCAAAAAUUAGAGAAAUUUGUUAUUUG